rnacentral:rRNA from 1 species
UACGUAUGGUGCAAGCGUUGUCCGGAUUUACUGGGCGUAAAGGGAGCGCAGGCGGCGCGCCAAGUCUGAUGUGAAACCCCGGGGCUCAACCCCGGGCAUGCAUUGGAAACUGGCGGGCUGGAGUGCCGGAGAGGUAAGCGGAAUUCCUAGUGUAGCGGUGAAAUGCGUCGAUAUUAGGAGGAACACCAGUGGCGAAGGCGGCUUACUGGACGGCAACUGACGCUGAGGCUCGAAAGCGUGGGGAGCAAACAGG